GUCCCGUAUUCCCCCUAAUAGCAGCACCUGGGUCCCGUAUUUCCCCUAAUAGCAGCACCUUUUAUGCUGUAUUUCUUCUAAAAGCAGCUCUGGGUCCACGAUUCCCCCCUAAUUGAAGCACAUGGGUCCCGUAUUUCCCCAAAGAGCAGCACCUGGGUGCCAUAUUUUCCCUAAUAGCAGCACUUGGGUCCCAUAUUUCCCCUAAUAGCAGCACCUGUGUCCCGUAUUUCUGCUAAUAGCAGCACCUGAGUGCCAUAUUUUCUCUAAUAGCAGCACCUGGGUCCUAUAUCUGUCAUAAUAGCAGCGCCUGGGUCCCAUAUUUCUCCUAAUAGCAGCAUCUGGGUCCUAUAUUUCUCCUAAUAGCAGCACCUGAGUGCUGUAUUUCCCCUAAUAGCAGCACCUGGGUCCCAUAUUUCCCCUAAUAGCAGCACCUCAGUCGAGUAUUCUUCCUAAUAGCAGCACUUUUUGUACCGUAUUUCCCCUAAUAGCAGCACCUGGGUCCCAUAUAACCUCUAAUAGUAGCACCUAAGUUCUAUAUUCCUUCUAAUAGUGGAAUUUAAUGCCGUAUUUUUCCUAAUAGCAGCACCCUGAGUCCCGUAAUUCCCCCCAAUAGCAGCGCCUGGGUGCCGUAUUGUUCCUAAUAGCAGCGCCUGGGCCCAGUAUUCCCCCUAAUAGCAGCGCACAGCUCCCUUAUUUUCUCUAAUAGCAGCUCCCGGAUCCCGUAUUUCUCCUAAUAGCGGCACCUCGUGCCGUAUUCCCCCUAAUAGCAGCACCUCCUGUUCUAGCAGUGCCACCUGGGUCCCGUAUUCUCCCUAAUAGCAGCACCCAGGCGCCGUAUUUCUCCUAAUAGCAGCACUUGAGGCCCUUAUUAUGUUUAAUAGCAGCUGUUGCACCCCUUACUCCCAUCAACAGCAGCUUUUACUGCGCCGUAUUCUCCCUAAUAGCAGCGCCCACCUCUGCAUUCCUCCUGAUAGCGGCGCCCCUCUACCAUAUUCCCCCUAAUAGCAGCCCUGCUUAUACCGUAUUUCCCCCUAAUAGCAGCACCUCCUACACCCCCCACUGCCCCUCACAGCGCCCCCUCAGCGCCGUAUUCUUCCUAAUAGCAGCGCCCAUGCCCUGCAGUCUUCCUCAUAGCAGAACCCCAGCCCCGUAUUUCCCAUAAUAGGAGCACCGCUGUACCGUAUUUCCCCCAAUAGCGGCGCCUGUGUGCCGUAUUCCCUUGAAUAGCUGUACCUGGGUGCUGUAUUUUUUCUAAUAGCUGCACCCACAUCCCGUAAUGCUCCUAAUAGCAGCGCCUUGCAUGCCGUAUUUCCCCUAAUAGCAGCACUCCGAUCUCUUAUUUCCCCUAAUAGCAGUGUCUGGGUCCCAUAUUCUCCCUAAUAGCAGCACCUGGGCCCCAGGCUUUCUAUUGGUAUUAUUCAUACCGUAUUUCUCCUAGUAGCAGCGCCUGUGCCCCCCCCAUUUCCCACUAAGCAACCCUCCCGGGUGCCGUAUUCCUCCUAAUAGCAGCUCCUGGCUUCCACACGUUUUCUACUAGCAGUAGAAUCUGUACCGUAUUGCUCCUAAUAGCAGCGCCAGGGCCUCAUAUUUAUGAUAUUUAUCCUAAGAGUAGCACCUGUGUCCCGUAUUCCUCCUAAUAGCAGCACCCAGUCCCAUAUUCCCCCUAAUAUCAGCACCCUUUGUACCGUAUUCUUCCUAAUAGCUGCACCUUUUCCAUCCCGUAUUUCCUAAUGUCCCCCCCAAUGCCGUAUUCCUCCGAAUAGCAGCACCCAUGCCCCGUAUUUCCCAUAAUAGCAGCACGGCCCGUGCCGUAUUGCUCCUAAUAGCAGCACCCCUGUUUCCCCCAUCCCCCCCUUAAGCACCCCCACGAGUGCCGUAUUCCUCCUAAUAGCAGCACCCAGCUCCCGUAGUAUUUUAACACCCCUGUUUGUACCGUACGUCUCCUAAUAGCAGCGCCUGCGCCCCUCAUUCCCCCUAAGCAGCCCCCAGAGUGCCGUAUUCCUCCUAAUAGCAGCGCCGGCCUUCCUUAGCACCUCUAAUAGCAGUUCUGUCUUUACUGUAUUCCUUCUAAUAGCAGCACUGUUGUCUUGUAGCAUCUUAGCAUCCCUAAUAGCAGUUCUGCUUGUACCGUAUUUCUUAUAAUAGCAGCACCAGCGUUCCUU
rnacentral:lncRNA from 1 species